AUUGAACGCUGCGGCAGGCUUAACACAUGCAAGUCGAGCGAGCGGCGGACGGGUGAGUAAUGCUUAGGAAUCUGCCUAUUAGUUGGGGACCAAAUCUCGGAAGGGAUGCUAAUACCGAAUACUAAUAGAUGAGCCUAAGUCGGAUUGGUUAGUUGGUGGGGUAAAGGCCUACCAAGGCGACGAUCUGUAGCGGUUCUGAGAGGAGUAUCCGCAAAACUGGGACUGAGACACGGCCCAGAAUCCUACGGGAGGCAGCAUGGGGGAAUAUUGGACAAUGGGGGGAACCCUGAUCCAGCCAUGCCGCGUGUGUGAAGAAGGCCUUAUGGUUGUAAAGCUCUUUAAGCGAGGAGGCGUUACUCGCAGAAUAAGCACCGGCUAACUCUGUGCCAGCAGCCGCGGUAAUUC
rnacentral:rRNA from 1 species